rnacentral:rRNA from 1 species
UGGGGAAUUUUGGACAAUGGGGGCAACCGUGAUCCAGCAAUGCCGCGUGUGUGAAGAAGGCCUUCGGGUUGUAAAGCACUUUUGUCCGGAAAGAAAACGUCGUGGUUAAUACCCGUGGCGGCUGACGGUACCGGAAGAAUAAGCACCGGCUAACUACGUGCCAGCAGCCGCGGUAAUACGUAGGGUGCAAGCGUUAAUCGGAAUUACUGGGCGUAAAGCGUGCGCAGGCGGUCCGCUAAGACAGAUGUGAAAUCCCCGGGCUUAACCUGGGAACUGCAUUUGUGACUGGCGGGCUAGAGUAUGGCAGAGGGGGGUAGAAUUCCACGUGUAGCAGUGAAAUGCGUAGAGAUGUGGAGGAAUACCGAUGGCGGAGGCAGCCCCCUGGGCCAAUACUGACGCUCAUGCACGAAAGCGUGGGGGAGCAAACAGGAUUAGAUACCCUGGUAGUCCACGCCCUAAACGAUGUCAACUAGUUGUCGGGUCUUCAUUGACUUGGU